rnacentral:rRNA from 1 species
UACGGAGGAUGCGAGCGUUAUCCAGAUUUAUUGGGUUUAAAGGGAGCGUAGGUGGCCUGUUAAGCCAGCUGUGAAAUACUGUAGCUCAACUACAGCCGUGCAGUUGGAACUGGCGGGCUUGAGUGCACAAGAGGAAGGUGGAAUUCAUGGUGUAGCGGUGAAAUGUUUAGAUAUCAUGAAGAACUCCGAUUGCGAAGGCAGCCUUCUGGGGUGCAACUGACACUGAUGCUCGAAAGUGUGGGUAUCGAACAGG